rnacentral:rRNA from 1 species
GCAUAUCAAUAAGCGGAGGAAAAGAAAAUAACAAUGAUUCCCUUAGUAACUGCGAGUGAAGAGGGAUAAGCUCAAAUUUUAAAUCUGUUUGGUUCUUACCACGCAGAGUUGUAAUUUGAAGAAACGUUUUCUGCGUCUUGAACUAAUCUAAAUCCUCUGGGAUGGGGUAUCAUUGAGGGUGACAGUCCCGUUCGUGGUUAGUUUUAAGGCUCUUUAUGAUACGUUUUCGAAGAGUCGAGUUGUUUGGGAUUGCAGCUCAAAAUGGGAGGUAAAUUUCUCCUAAGGCUAAAUAUUGGCGAGAGACCGAUAGCGAACAAGUACCGUGAGGGAAAGAUGAAAAGAACUUUGAAAAGAGAGUUAAACAGUACGUGAAAUUGUUGAAAGGGAAACGAUUGAAGUCAGUCGUACCAGCGGGAAAUCAACCUUUCGAGUGGGAUCUUGGAGCUUUAAAGAGUUUCAAAGCCUUUGGGUUUCAAGAUUUUCUACUCUUUUGGUGUACUUUCUCGUAGGUAGGUCAACAUCGAUUUUGAACAUCAUAAAAAGAUCGGAGGAAUGUAGCUUCGAUCUCGUAUUGAAGUGUUAUAGCCUUUGGUAAAUGUGAUGUUCGAGAUCGAGGAUUGCAACGAAUAUCCUUUUGGGCUAUUCGUCUGAUCUCUGAUACGUGGCCUUGGUAUCGAAAGCGUGCUUACGGUAUUAAGGUAUUACGGUCAAAAGGUUAGAACGGAUUACAUUCGUUAAGGAUGUUGACGUA